GGCCAAUAAGGAAGAAAGAAUCAAAGAUGGGGAAACAGAGGCCCAAAGUGAUCUGCCCAAGGUCACAUGGGUAGAAAAUGACACAAGACCAGAAUUUAAGCCCAGAUCCUGACUCCAAACCCAGUAUUCUUUUCAUUGAGAUAAAGACACUGAGGUUCAGAGGGAUGGAGCAACUGUCACAGGAAGAGCUAGGAUUCAAACCCAAGUCCUCAGACUCAAAAUAAAGUGUGUUCUUUGCACUGAACCACACGCCUUAAAUUAUCUUCCCUUUAGAUCCCUUUAGGUCAAAUCUCAUCACCAUCCAAAAUAGAGCAAGUCUUUUGUUGAGCUUUUAAAGACCUUCAUAACCUGGCCCCAGCCAAUUUUUCUAGACUCACUGGACAUGACUCCACCUUCUGUACUCUGGGAUCCCAUUAAACUGGCCUUUCUGUUCCUCAUACAUAUGGAGUAUUAACUCCAUUCCUCUUCCUCACGCCUUUGCAUUGGCCAUACCAUAUCCUCA